GCGGCGGUGGCGGAAUUGGUAGACGCUAUGUCCUCAAACGGCAUUGUCCUUCGGGGCGUGUGGGUUCGACUCCCACCCGCCGCA
rnacentral:tRNA from 1 species